AUCCCUCCUAUUUUCCAGAGAGAAAAAAAUAGAGCCCAGUCCAUCUCCCAGUCCGUCUCCGUCUCUCUCAUGUCUGUCAGUCUCAAGCUCGCCGGUCAGCCUUUACUCCUCUAUCAUCAUCACCCGUUCAAGCGUUUCCAUGAAUUCUCCGUCGUGAGCAUUCACAGGGUUUCCGGGCGAUAUUGGUUACACAAAUCGAACAACUCCUCGGUUAGUCUGCGCCGUUCGCCAAGACCCAGAGUCUGCUCAAUCGGCGGUGAUGAUACUGAUUAUGGUACAUCAAAUGCUUCGAACUGUGAAGGUUCCACGGAAAAGAAUGAAACUGGUCGAGGAGGACCCCUCACAUCCAACGACAUAUUGAAGAGAUUAAAGAGAUAUGGGAUUUCAGGAAUAUUGUCCUAUGGUUUAUUGAAUACAACCUACUAUCUCACAACAUUUCUCAUAGUUUGGUUUCAUAUUGCUCCUGCACCUGGAAGGAUGGGCUAUCUCGCAGCUGUUGAAAGAUUCCUCAAAAUAAUGGCCAUGGUGUGGGCUGGAAGCCAAGUUACUAAACUUAUAAGAGCUGGCGGGGCACUUGCUCUUGCACCAUUUGUUGACAGAGGAUUGUCAUGGUUCACUGACAAAUUCAAGUUUGAGUCUCAAGGGAAGGCUUUUAUGGUGAUCGUUGGAUUUUGUUUCGGACUGGCUAUCAUGCUAUUUUUGGGUGUGACAAUGCUUUGGGCCUAGAGAAAUAUCUCAUUUAACUAGGUGGACGAAGCUGAUUUCAGAAAAAAGAACACAUUUAUACAAAGAUCAUGAAGUCGUUUGCUUACACUUGCAUUUCAAACGGAGUACACAGUAUGUACACAUGAGAACUGAGAAACACCCAGCAAAUAACAAAUUUAUCUACUAUACUCUGCUCGUUUAUGCAGCAAUCCAUCCAUAUUUAUCAUUAAAAACGAGAAGAUGAUGUACUUGUUUUGGCAAGGAUGGAAACGUUGUAGAAAACAGUGGUUAAGAAUAAACUUUUGGUACACGUUUAGAUUCAUGGAGUAGAAACGAUGUUCAAAGUUUUCUAGGGAUUGAAAAUUAGUAAAACAGGCGAACGUUCUAUUGCUA